rnacentral:rRNA from 1 species
GAUGAACGCUGGCGGCGUGCCUAAUACAUGCAAGUCGAGCGAACAGACGAGGAGCUUGCUCCUCUGACGUUAGCGGCGGACGGGUGAGUAACACGUGGAUAACCUACCUAUAAGACUGGGAUAACUUCGGGAAACCGGAGCUAAUACCGGAUAAUAUAUUGAACCGCAUGGUUCAAUAGUGAAAGACGGUUUUGCUGUCACUUAUAGAUGGAUCCGCGCCGCAUUAGCUAGUUGGUAAGGUAACGGCUUACCAAGGCAACGAUGCGUAGCCGACCUGAGAGGGUGAUCGGCCACACUGGAACUGAGACACGGUCCAGACUCCUACGGGAGGCAGCAGUGGGGAAUCUUCCGCAAUGGGCGAAAGCUUGACGGAGCAACGCCGCGUGAGUGAUGAAGGUCUUCAGAUCGUAAAACUCUGUUAUUAGGGAAGAACAAAUGUGUAAGUAACUAUGCACGUCUUGACGGUACCUAAUCCGAAAGCCACGGCUAACUACGUG